GCCAUCUUGAACGAGGGUCAUUUGUAGUGUACUGUUAGAUAGAGGCUCGUGACCAGAAAGCAUGCUACAGUUUGUUUUCUUCCUGUAUUGAACACAGAUAAUCCCGUCCCAUUGAGCAAUUCGGAACCGAUGUGUCUUUCUGGAUCAAACGCGCCAAAUAAAUGGACAUUGUGGAUAUAUAUUGACGGAAUUAAUCGAACAAAAGGACCAUUUGUGAUGUUUAUGGGACAUAUUGGAGUGCCAACAAAAGAAGCUCGUCAAAGCUUAACAGCACGUCCUCCACUGUCCUUCAGCGUCUCCUGGAGAACCAGAUUUUUGUUAAAGUGGAGAAGUGUGUAUUCCAUCACUCCACCAUUUCCUUCCUAGGAUACGUCAUCGCUGCAGGACAUAUAUAGAUGGAUCCAGACAAGCUGACUGGGCACCUCAAACAUCGAUUCACUACAGCCCCCAUCUUAAUCCACCCGGACCCGUCCUUUCAGUUCGUGGUGGAGGUUGAUGGCUCGGAUGUUAGAGUGGGAAUCGUCAUGUUCCCAGCAUUCUGCCCAAGACCAAAAGCUGCACCCCAUCGCUUUUCUCUCAUAUCAUCUUACCCUUGCUGAGACGAACCACAAUGUUUUUCACCCGUUUCAAUUUCACCCUCUCCUACCCCACGGCGUCCAAGAAUGUGUGGCCUGAUGCACUCUCACGUUUGCAUAGCCCCGCUGCUUAUCCAUCGUACCCUGAGACCAUCCUCCGGGGUGGGGGGGGGUCUGGCUAACCGAAUGUUUGUCCUGGACUCUGCCCGGUCUCCGGUCC
ensembl:lncRNA